CAGCAGCCGCGGGAAUACGUAGGGUGCGAGCGUUAAUCGGAAUUACUGGGCGUAAAGCGUGCGCAGGCGGUUUUGUAAGACAGAUGUGAAAUCCCCGGGCUCAACCUGGGAACUGCAUUUGUGACUGGCAAGCUAGAGUCUGGCAGAGGGGGGUGGAAUUCCGCGUGUAGCAGUGAAAUGCGUAGAUAUGCGGAGGAACACCGAUGGCGAAGGCAGCCCCCUGGGCCAACACUGACGCUCAUGCACGAAAGCGUGGGGGGCAAACAGGAUUAGAUACCCCAGUAGUCCCUGUCUCUUAUAC
rnacentral:rRNA from 1 species